rnacentral:rRNA from 1 species
CCAAUAGCGUAUAUUAAAGUUGCUGCAGUUAAAAAGCUCGUAGUUGAAUUUCGGGAUCAAUAUGUUGGUCGUGCCUCGGUACGUACUAGCUUAUUGGUUUCUCCCUUCUGACGAACCAUGAUGUCAUUUAUUUGGUGUUAUGGGGAAUCAGGACUGUUACUUUGAAAAAAUUAGAGUGUUUAAAGCAGGCUCACGCUUGAAUACAUUAGCAUGGAAUAAUGAAAUAGGACGUUUGAUUCUAUUUUGUUGGUUUCUAGGAUCGACGUAAUGAUUAAUAGGGAUAGUUGGGGGCAUUAGUAUUAAAUUGUCAGAGGUGAAAUUCUUGGAUUUAUUGAAGACUAAAUACUGCGAAAGCAUUUGACAAGGAUGUUUUCAUUAAUCAAGAACGAAAGUUAGGGGAUCGAAGACGAUCAGAUACCGUCGUAGUCUUAACCAUAAACUAUGCCGACUAGGGAUCGGAUGAUGUUAAUUUUUUAAUGACUCAUUCGGCGCCUUACG